rnacentral:rRNA from 1 species
AUGCCCGCAGACUUCAGCAGGUGGGUAAUGCAGAUCUACGACCCAGCUAGCGAGUGCAUCGUUGUCCCAAGCAGGGGCGAGAUUGCCGUAACAGCCGAAAGCGUCCACCACACCUUGGGUCUUCGCAAUUCAGGGGAGGAAGUGUUCUACGGGUGGGAUGCAGAAGCAAUAUCUUUCAUAAACAGCAGGUUCGGUUUUCAGAAUGGGUGCGCCCCCGAGAUAACAACCGUCUGCACUAUGAUUAAAGAGAUGAAUGGGAGAGCAGACGACGACUUCAUGAGGGCUUGGCUGAUUGUGGUAGUUUGUACCUUCAUGUGCCCUAUAACGAGCUUACAUGUCAGCGCUCGAUGCUACCCAAUAGUCGCCGACCUAGAGAAAGUGAAGAGGCUCAACUUUUGUGCAUUCAUAGUGAAUCAGAUAAAAUCUUCAUUAGGGGGUAGCAACAAGAAGAAGGUUGUAAACUGUUGUGUGCACCAUAUGGUCAUAAGUACCACCUGCUAG